CGUCAGGGCCCAUCCACCUGAGACGUUAAAUCACACCGUCUGACAGCAGACUAUCAUCCACACAACUUGCCAAGAUGUAUCAUAAAACAACAACAGUUGCUCUUGCUGUUCUACUCAUUGCCUUAGUCUCACUCUCAGACGCUUCAAAUUACUGGAGAAUCAAAAACAAAGGCAGGAAUGCUCGUUAUACCGCCAGAUCGCCACGGCUGUACGACGCACUGAAGAACGCUCAGGUCAAGAGGUACGCCGGUAUUGAGGAUGUCGAAGCCGCAGAGGAACCGGUAGACACUUGGCUUCGAGACUGGGUCAUCUCAAACAGGAAUUUCAUCAGAGGCACUCUUUUCGACGACACCUACACAAAUGAAGUCUGAAGCCUUUCACCUUUCCUUGUUUUUUCUUCUUCAGCUCGCAAAUCAACCAGACUCCUGCCUGCUUUCUACCUAACUUCACCGAGUUCCAUUCUCCUCCCAAAAUGAAGAGCGACCUCAAUCACCACAGACAUGUCAUCACUUCUUCCCUAAGCAGAAAAUAAUAACAUAUUAUUGUUACGUCACACAAGAACGGUCGCUAGUGGCUUUUUAUCGAGCAAAAUACUUUUACAUCAAAUGAUGCAAGAUUCAUCGCCCGUGUAUUAUAUGUAAAUAUAUUAAGUUCUUCGAUGCACAACUGGAUGGUACUAGAGUUAUGAAAAAUGUAAGCUUUCAAUUAAUUCCAAAACGAUUGCCAGUGUUAAUUAAUAUUUUAAAGAACAAGCAACGUAUAGCUGCUCAACGGAGUUUCUUUCUCAUCAACGCGCACCUUUUGGGUUUGAUUUGGUUCGCCGUAACUUUAUACACAUAAACAAUCAGUUGUUUAAAAAUAAUACGGCUGCUUUGCUCUAUUCAGAGCCAUUUAUAUCUUGGCUCUGUUCUCCAUUUCAAGACAGACAUAAUAUCAUAAGUGUCUCGUCAAAUCAUUAAUCGAAACUUUACUGAACUCAGCUUGAUUGCACGAAUUGUCAAAGUGAAGGUCUCUCGUCCUUUUAUCUCCAGUGAUUUACCCAAUUGAUCGGAUAAUUAGGUUCUAAUGAGUUACUCACAAAACCAUAAAUGAGGAAACGUAAUGAAUGGUCAUGUGCGACAUUAGAUCCCAUGUACUAGAAACUUAAUGAAACAUUAGUUCAGUGAUCCAUUUAAACCUGUGCGAACGUCAUGGCCUCAAGCUGGUUACUGGCGUAAACGAUUGACUGGGAGAAGUUUGGGAGAAUUUUAAUGAAAGUAUGGCUGUUCUAAAGCAUACCAGUACCCCUGACUCUACCACCAUCGUUUGAUAUCUCACCACUCCCAUCUACUCCAGGGAAAUCAAAUUGUCUAUGUUCGUUUAUAUACAUGUAGGUUUGAAAUGUUCAUGGCUCACGUGACUCAUGCCAUGGUAAAAGGUUUAUCAGAGAAAAGCUUAUCAGCAGAAAGGUAUACAUCUUAUUUAAUUAAAUAUUUGAACAUGGAGAUUAUAACUUAAGUAUUGAAACAAAGAAAAAGAAGAUGACUGAACGUGAACAUCACUUUAUUUAUCGGAGAAAUUACAAUUUAGUAAUCAUUGACAAAAGGAUGGAGAAUAGAAAAUGGUUGCAACUAUAAUAUCGACUGAUGAAGUAAGACUGCACCCAUUGGAUUAAAUUAGUGGCUCCGCAGUCAUUGUCCCACACUUACCAAAUUCGCAAUUUUAACCUAAAAAAAACGCUAUACUUAACCUGAACAAUAAACAUACAAACCUGAAACCCAAUCUCAACCCGAUUCUUAACCCUAAAGCGUCGAUGAAAUGAAAAUCAGAGCAAAUGGUGGAUCUUCCUCUCUUCAUACCCCCCCCCCCCCCAAUCAUUCGCUGUGUCACAUUUCCGACUACGCCUCCCGUACAUUGUGGACCAAACACCAUAUAACGUCCUGAUCCUUGCUAAUUGAUUUUGUCAGUCAAGUGCUUGGUCUUCACCCUAGGGCGAGUCUUCGAGAAGGGGAAUUUAAUUGUCUUGAUGGUCAUUCAAAGGGCGAAAACAGAAAUUAUGCGGUUGUGCACACAUGCAUCAUCUUUACAUCUUUGACUGAGUUUCUUUCUAACUGAGUGGUUGACCCUUUUCUAUUUCAUUCGUACUGACUAAAAAGUUUCGCGUAGUAUUUUGGAGUUUAGUUGUCACCCGCACUGUUGCAACUGGCCAUAAAGAUAAAAAUUGAUCUACUCGCAUUAAAACUAAAAAUGUAGUAAUCAUUUCUAUUCGAAAGACCCGAUAUGAUCGGGAAACCUUCAUGAAGAUAUAAGUCAAAUGUGAAUGCAACCUUUAUGCAACUAAACUUUUUAAGCGUUCAGACAUGUCCGAUGAAACCUUAUUUUGGCUGGUAAAGUGACAGAAAAACCGAAAGAAAAAAUAUCAUUUCAAGUCAAUAUUAUAGUUUUGUAAACAAUAGGCCCUAUAUCACAAAAAAAGAGAUAUUCCCUGAAAACACUUUGUGGAAAUUAACGUGGAUACAUUCCUUGUAAUAUAGUUGUUAUGCCAUUUGAACUCAAGAAAAGUGUGAUGAAAACUAUGCCAGUGUGUGCUAAUUAUUCUUUUGAUGGUAAUCAUUAUGACGGUAAUAAUACAGAUUCUGUAAAGCAUGUGUCCAAAGAGGAAAAAUAUCAUGUUUGUUGUUAAGUUUGUUGAUUUAAGUUGUCUUAAUUUGUGAUUUAUCAGCACUCAAAUUAUCAUGAAGGAAACGACGCUCUGUUUCAUGACUGUAAUAACCCGUUUACCUUGUACACUGUAGUUAAUAAUCUAUUGUACUCACUACUGUAGUAUCAAAUUUUGUUGAAACGGUAUAAACGAUGCAGUUGCCGAAAUAGAAAACACUAGAUUUAUCAAAAGUAUCAAUAUGAUAUGCUAUCUGGCGCCAUCAUUGUUCAUGUUUUGUUUCAUUCGUAGAGUGCAGUGUGUAAAUGUAUAAACUUGAAAAAACAUGUAGAUUACUACUGCAAUGUUACUUAUAUUGUAUCAUAGUAUUGUAAAUAGAAAUAUUUUCCUUUGCUUCCUGUUACAAAUGAAAAAGAGUAUUUAUUUAAAAUUUUGAACGUAGUUCAUGAAAAGUGUGACCUCAUUUAAUACACAGAAAUAAUCAUGUAAGUCUGUAGUACGAGACUAUUCCCUAAUUCAUAAAAAAA
rnacentral:lncRNA from 1 species